rnacentral:rRNA from 1 species
UACAGAGGUCCCGAGCGUUGUUCGGAUUCAUUGGGCGUAAAGGGUGCGUAGGCGGCUGGGUAAGUUUGAUGUGAAAUCCUGGGGCUCAACCCUGGAACUGCAUUGAAUACUGCUCGGCUAGAGUACUGGAGAGGAAACUGGAAUUCACGGUGUAGCAGUGAAAUGCGUAGAGAUCGUGAGGAAGACCAGUGGCGAAGGCGAGUUUCUGGACAGUUACUGACGCUGAGGCACGAAGGCCAGGGGAGCAAACGGG